rnacentral:rRNA from 1 species
UACGUAGGGGGCUAGCGUUGUCCGGAAUCAUUGGGCGUAAAGAGCGUGUAGGCGGCCCGGUAAGUCCGCUGUGAAAGUCCAGGGCUCAACCCUGGGAUGCCGGUGGAUACUGCUGAACUAGAGUGCGGAAGAGGCGAGUGGAAUUCCCGGUGUAGCGGUGAAAUGCGCAGAUAUCGGGAGGAACACCAAUUGCGAAGGCAGCUCGCUGGGACGUUACUGACGCUGAGACGCGAAAGCGUGGGGAGCAAACAGG